rnacentral:rRNA from 1 species
UACGGAGGGUGCGAGCGUUGUUCGGAAUUAUUGGGCGUAAAGCGCGUGUAGGCGGUUUGAUAAGUCUGAUGUGAAAGCCCUGGGCUCAACCUAGGAAGUGCAUUGGAAACUGUCAGACUUGAAUACGGGAGAGGGUAGUGGAAUUCCUGGUGUAGGAGUGAAAUCCGUAGAUAUCAGGAGGAACACCGGUGGCGAAGGCGGCUACCUGGACCGAUAUUGACGCUGAGACGCGAAAGCGUGGGUAGCAAACAGG